UACAGAGGGUGCGAACGUUGUUCGGAAUUACUGGGCUUAAAGCGCACGUAGGCGGCGCCGCAAGUGUGGAGUGAAAUCCCACGGCUUACCCGUGGAACUGCUUGGCAGACUGCGGUGCUAGAGGAUGGUAGGGGAGAGCGGAACUCCUGGUGGAGCGGUGAAAUGCGUAGAUAUCAGGAGGAACACCGGUGGCGAAGGCGGCUCUCUGGUCCAUUACUGACGCUGAGGUGCGAAAGCUAGGGGAGCAAACGGG
rnacentral:rRNA from 1 species